rnacentral:rRNA from 1 species
AUGAUUCUGGGCUAUUCGCCCGAUGAGAGCCAGAGCAUCGCUAACCGGCUUAACUGUCGAUUGGGGACAUUCCCCACUACCUACCUGGGGGUCCCCAUUAGUGACUCCCGCCUGACCGUGGCCGACCUACGACCCUCGGUGCUCAAGCUCCAACACCGCAUCGAGCCGUGGCAGGGUCGUUGGCUCUCUAAGGCGGCUCGUACGAUCCUCAUCAACUCGUCCCUUUCCAGCCUCCUCCUAUUCAUCAUGAGCUUCUACAGCUUCCCCGAGACUCUCCACCAUGAGAUUGGUCUGGUCCAGGCCCGGUUCUAUUGGGCGGGCGAGGGCGACAAGAAAAAGUACCAUAUGGUGCGCUAGUCUGAAAUCUGCAAGCCCCGGGAUCAAGGUGGUCUUAGUAUCAUGUCCUCCAAGCGCAUGAACCUGGCACUCCUCACUCGUUGGCUCUGGCGCAUUGCGAAUGGCGAUGGCGGCCUGUGGUUG